UGGGGAAUAUUGCACAAUGGGCGAAAGCCUGAUGCAGCAACGCCGCGUGAGUGAUGAAGGUCUUCGGAUUGUAAAGCUCUGUCUUUUGGGACGAUAAUGACGGUACCAAAGGAGGAAGCCACGGCUAACUACGUGCCAGCAGCCGCGGUAAUACGUAGGUGGCGAGCGUUGUCCGGAUUUACUGGGCGUAAAGGGUGCGUAGGCGGAUGUUUAAGUGAGAUGUGAAAUACCCGGGCUUAACUUGGGUGCUGCAUUUCAAACUGGAUAUCUAGAGUGCAGGAGAGGAGAAUGGAAUUCCUAGUGUAGCGGUGAAAUGCGUAGAGAUUAGGAAGAACACCAGUGGCGAAGG
rnacentral:rRNA from 1 species